UAGGGAAUCUUCCGCAAUGGGCGAAAGCCUGACGGAGCAACGCCGCGUGAGUGAUGAAGGUCUUCGGAUCGUAAAACUCUGUUAUUAGGGAAGAACAAAUGUGUAAGUAACUAUGCACGUCUUGACGGUACCUAAUCAGAAAGCCACGGCUAACUACGUUCCAGCAGCCGCGGUAAUACGUAGGUGGCAAGCGUUAUCCGGAAUUAUUGGGCGUAAAGCGCGCGUAGGCGGUUUUUUAAGUCUGAUGUGAAAGCCCACGGCUCAACCGUGGAGGGUCAUUGGAAACUGGAAAACUUGAGUGCAGAAGAGGAAAGUGGAAUUCCAUGUGUAGCAGUGAAAUGCGCAGGGAUAUGGAGGAACACCAGUGGCGAAGGCGACUUUCUGGUCUGUAACUGACGCUGAUGUGCGAAAGCGGGGGGAUCAAACAGG
rnacentral:rRNA from 1 species